GAAAUGCAAUGUCAUGUAAGAAGUACCUUUCACUGUAAGCACACUGUAGGCACUGACAGCAUACUGUAGCCCACAACAGGAAGGAUUACUGUACUUAAUUCAGCCACUCCUUACUCACUCAUAACCUCCCCUCCAUGCAUGUUUCUCUCCCACUCUCAUUUGACAGAUUAAUAAGGCCAACCCUUCCUGGUAGACCCAGUGUGGGCACCGGAUUUGUUUAUCUCAGUUCUAAGCCGCCGCAGCAGCUUACGAGCUUGUGUGCAGAUAGUGAUUGGUCAGUGCCAGCAGAGAAGCGUGAGCUGGCCUCUUGAAGCCUAUCCCCCAUCCCAGAGCAAUGACAGGAGGUAGUAAGACUUGUGGCUGAGGCCUGUCCCGCUUUGGUUCUGUAUUUAGCAAGGGUAGGUCCUAGAAACCCUGCAACAUGGACAAAGUGUUGGGAGAGUUCUAUACAGGUCAGCUGCUUUGAAAAGCUGGAUGUGAGCAUCUAAGUUGGAAAGUGAGGACAAAGGAAGACCUGCUGAUUUGUGGUAUGAAUUUAAUGGAAUUAACAUCAGGAAGAGAGGAAAAAGAGAGAGCACAGAAGAGGAAGACAGGGUUUUCAGUGCCAGCUCAGUGAAAACAAUUAAAAGCUUUUGUGGACAGACACCCCAGAGAGAAGAGGAGAGGAAGGACAGGACAGGAGUCCGAUACACAUCAGAUCCAGGGACAAACUACUUGGCAAUGAAGAAAAGGAACAAGGUAUUGUGGGAAACAAGUACCCCACAAGAAGGACUGACUGACACAGCAUCACUUGUCAGAGGAUACUGUCUUGGACAAAUCUUCACUUAUCCAGUUGCUACUGACCUCUCUGAUACACAGGAAUAACAGCAACGGAAGCCUGAAUCGGAGGUAUAUGCCUGCUGGUCUUGGAUGAAAUGAAGAGCUAUGUAUACGAUUGGGACCUUCCUGUGGAGGGCCCGUUGCAUAAAGUAAUGCAUUGGCAGAGCAGGUGGAAUUCAGCAUACCAGACACCCUCCCCCAGCCCCCCUCACCAGCCGACACAGCAAGGGGCCGCUCUGGCUGUCCCCACAGAGACGACUGAAAGGAUAAGGAAGGCUAAAUUAGAGACCAUCACAAUACUUGCGGAUAACCACCUACACACACUCACCAGCACACGUUGUAGCCACCUUUCAAAGGUCAGCUAUCAAAGCCAGGUUAUAUUUGGUCUAUCUUUGAUGUAGGCUGAAGAGGAAGGGUUGUGUG